rnacentral:rRNA from 1 species
UACGGGGGGGGCAAGCGUUGUUCGGAAUUACUGGGCGUAAAGGGCUCGUAGGCGGCCAACUAAGUCAGACGUGAAAUCCCUCGGCUUAACCGGGGAACUGCAUCUGAUACUGGAGUGCUUGAGCGCGGGAGAGGAAAGCGGAAUUCCUGGUGUAGCGGUGAAAUGCGUAGAUAUCAGGAGGAACACCUGUGGUGUAGACGGCUUUCUGGACCGUAGCUGACGCUGAGACACGAAAGCGUGGGUAGCAAACAGG